CCCAGGGCCACUUAGGGUGCGUCCACGCUGGGUGUGCCAGGCAUGCACGUGGGCUGCAGAUGCCCAGGAGGCAGAGCCGAGCCUGCCAAGGUUAUGCAUGCACCUCUCAGCUCCCUGCUUAACACUGCGUUCCCGGGAAAGAGAUUUCUCCCUGGCUGCUUCACAUCCAGAGGAGAACAUCAGCUCUCAGCAGAAAAUAAGGCCCUCUUCACCUGCCAGCUGGGCAACAGCAGUUACUCUCAUUGGAGACCCUUUCCCUUCGCCACUUCCCAGGCUACUCCAGACUGAAUGCAUUCAGGGAGUCACCUCCCAGGUCAAAACCUGCUGUGAUACCAUCACCCUGCAGCACAGACCACAGUCCCAAGCCUCCCAUUCUUGACUCUAACACCAGCCCA
rnacentral:lncRNA from 1 species